UUCCACGGGACAGAUUUUGGGUGUUUUUGCGUCCCACCUCCCCCUGGAACGGGUUUGUUCCACGUCUGUGGAACACAAUGUUUUACCAUUUUAAGACAAAUAUACCCCAUGUCUUUUUCAAAAAUUACACCUUCGUUCCGUCCCGUCCCGUCCCAUCCCGUCCCUUUCCGUCCCGUCCCGUCUGCAUACCAAACGCAUCCUUAAGGACGUCACUGAUGAGUCACUUCUUGACCUAAUGAUUAAAUUAAUUAAUGUCAUUGUAUAUGCGAUUGGAUGGCUCGACGGGGGAAUGUAACUGGGUCAACUAUACCAAAGUACAUUUGAAUUGUCUAUUUGUAAUUGAUAAAAACCACUCAUGCAGCAUGUCUAUAUCAAUAUGUACCAUCUACAAAUAUUUCUGUCCAUCGUUUGUGGCCAUCAUCAUGAUUGAAUCUGAUAGAUUUUUGGAGAAGAAUCCAUGCCUGGAGAAUCAAUGAUGCCAUGUUACGCCAGAAUAUCGUACUUCUGUCGGAUCCUCCCUAUAUCAUGAUCGUGCUUUUGUAGGUAGAUGUUGUACACUGUGUAACUGGAAUAAGGGCCCUUCUCAAUAAACCAUAUGGAUAUAGCUGUAUCGGCGUCUACAUUCAUACACAGGGCGGAGCACAGUUCGUACGUAUGAAGUUGUCGAGGAGUCCAAACAAUGGAAACUAGCUCCGUCAUUGUUAAUUUGAUGCUAAACACUUGUAGGUACACGUUAGAUAAGUAAUAUGAAAAAUAACUCAAUUUCUUAUAAGUCAUUUUAUAUAAGGUUUUU
rnacentral:lncRNA from 1 species